UACGGAGGGAGCUAGCGUUGUUCGGAAUUACUGGGCGUAAAGCGCACGUAGGCGGCUUUGUAAGUUAGAGGUGAAAGCCCGGGGCUCAACCCCGGAAAUUGCCUUUAAGACUGCAUCGCUUGAAUCCGGGAGAGGUGAGUGGAAUUCCGGAGUGUAGAGGUGAAAUUCGUAGAUAUUCGGAAGAACACCAGGUGGCGAAGGC
rnacentral:rRNA from 1 species